rnacentral:lncRNA from 1 species
CAUGGGGUCACAAAGACUCAGACACGACUGAGUGACUGAACUGAACUGAAAAAUGUAAGUAAAAUUUAAAAGGAAAAUAAAAAGAUUUCACAAGGCAAAUAAUUUUUCUAGCCAGUUAGUAUUCUUUUAAUUCCUUUUUAUAUCAACAAUCAUAUUACAAUUUCCUCUUUUCACUACCUAUCUCAACACAGGCUUUAAAUAUUUUAAUGUAGAUAUAUAUCAAAUAGCUGAAGGCCAGGUUUUAAUGAUAACCUUUGGAAAAGCUAAACUUUCCUCAUCCACGUUUAGCACAGAUGGAAAUUUAAUACAUAGAGACUACCUCAAUAGAUGAGAAAGGAGGGAAGUAAUUCAGAAACUCAUUUUAUUAAAAAUAUUUAUUUAAAAAAAUACAAUUGUCCAUAUCUAGUUGCACAUACAUCUAUUAACAUAUCUAUAUAAUUUGGGACUAGUAUAUUUGAUACAGUGCUUUCUUAAAGCCAGUUGCCAUUACACAAAGCAAAUUCCUCUGUCAGUUCUUACAUAAAAUAGUUUUUAAAAAUGUAUUUUCUAAAAAGAUGCAUAUCAUCAUUACAGAAUUUAACAAUAUUUUGUAUAAAACUUGAAGCAAUAGAAAACAAAGAUCACCUGAUUAGUUUUCAGAGCAAUCCCUUACUCUGUCUGGAGAUGCACUGAGUAUUAACUCCAUAUUUUCCUCUUAAAAGCAGCAUAUUUUGAAGCCCUCAAAGUGUCAGCGCAGGCUCUUUCUCACCAACCUAGAUUCUGUAAAAUUUCUCUGCCACACACACAUAGAGCUAAGGCUCUGGCUAAUCCUAAUCACCUUAAGACAACACCCUUUAGUUUCCCAACAGCUAAGUCAGACAGCUCAGCUAGAGAGGUGGCAGUCUCUCUCCAGUUGCAUCAACGAUUGAUGUGAUUUUAAUAAACGUAGGCAGUUACCGUCACUUGAAUUGUUUUAGGAAAAAGAAAUGUGGUUUUAAUACUUUGAAGGUCUCCCUCAUGUAAGUUACACUGAAGUUAAUCAAGACAAAUUAUUAAUGACACUUUAACAGUAAUGCAGUCUUUUGGGUAGGUAGGUGUGCACUGGCAUUUUAUGUAAGUAUUCUGUUUAUACACAAGUAGAGGAUACUAGAUAUUAUGACAGACAGAUUUCAACAGAAUAAACAAAGGGAAAAAUAAACAAUGAAGUAACUGUCUUCCCAGCUGAAUGAAUCAAAGUCUGAGGAAAGCACCCUGACAAGUUCUCACUACCACGGAGGCAAACUGAGACACACUGAUGUAAAGGACACACCUCUUUGUGUUAACACCACAGCAGACACGCUUUUUUUUUUUUUUCUGACUUACAGAUUCAUUGGGUGAAAACCAAAAGUUUAACAUUAUUUAAUUUUCAAGUGAUGUCCACACUUGAAGAUCCAGUAGGACUCAUAGAAAAUUAUUAAGUUUGUUCUUCAAAACACAAGAUUGUACACUUUUUUAAAAGUUGACUUGAUUAUCUAGUGAAAAAUGUUUUCAUUCUAAAAACUAGUUUUAGUCGAAAAUGUAUUUGCCUCAAUCCAAAGCCCAUCAGUAGCAAAAUGACUGGACUGAGUUUCAUAUUUAAUCUUCUCUACCCACAAAGAUAAACGAAACUGCUAGAAGGUAAAAGUGAAAAAAUUACCUAUGAUUGUGACUAGAAAAAGGCUGAAUGGCCAAACCAAAUAAAUACGCCUCCAGUAAUAAAAAAUUAGUUGUAUUCAUUUCUGCCUUUACAUAUAUGCA